CGAACUCCAAUCGCGCUAUGCACCACGCCCUUGGCUCCGUACUCGGAUCAUCUAUCUCCAUAGUACCUGUAGGUGACAAAUACUACAAAGAAAACAUCAAAUGGACUGAAACGGUCCAAAUGAACGGAUCUAGACACAUGAUGCCAAAACAAGAAAUCAAAUGGAAACGAAGCUCAAACAUACUAAUAAUCACUCAAAAACAUGCCUAAAAGGGAUAGAUAAUUGCUACAAAUUCUAGUCUUAUCACCAGCCUCUUGGUUCCUUACCUUCAGUAGCAAGAAAGUCGUUUUCUGCAUCCGAAAAAAUGGUAUUUCCAUCUUGUGCGCAGACCGCUAUCUUCCGAUGUUCCUUCUGGGUCAGCCUGAGAGUCUUCAGCUUCUUAUUCCUUGUCAUAGGCCUCUGAUCUAUCGUAAGCUCUGAGUGCUUCUUCGAAGAGCUAUAUGUUCUCGAUUUUUAUAGCAAUCAUGGAACCAUCCUCAUAUUCAUGAGGAUCGUUCAGCGACCAAGGAGGGAUUCUCAUCACCAUUUCCCUGAGCUGCUUCUCCCCCUUCGUGAAUAAUGGGGGAUGGUGGUCGGGAGAUAUCGAGGAUACAUCAUUUGGAGGGUCGGCCCCAACCGAGAUACUUCAUUUGUUUGUUUGAAGAAUGGGAAGAAAAUCAAGGCUUUUCAAGGUUUGGAAGUUUCCGUAAGGUGCAACAUCAAGCUAUUAUUUGA
rnacentral:lncRNA from 1 species